rnacentral:rRNA from 1 species
GGGGAAUUUUGGACAAUGGGCGCAAGCCUGAUCCAGCAAUGCCGCGUGCAGGAUGAAGGCCUUCGGGUUGUAAACUGCUUUUGUACGGAACGAAAAGCCUCUCUCUAAUACAGGGGGGUGAUGACGGUACCGUAAGAAUAAGCACCGGCUAACUACGUGCCAGCAGCCGCGGUAAUACGGAGGAUGCGAGCGUUAUCCGGAUUUAUUGGGUUUAAAGGGUGCGCAGGCGGGCUUUUAAGUCAGCGGUGAAAUCUCGGGGCUUAACUCCGAAACUGCCGUUGAAACUGGGAGUCUUGAGUAUGGAUGAAGUAGGCGGAAUUCGUUGUGUAGCGGUGACAUGCUUAGAUAUAACGAGGAACUCCGAUUGCGUAGGCAGCUUACUAAGCCAUAACUGACGCUCAAGCACGAAAGCGUGGGGAUCAAACA